AGCAGUGGGGAAUAUUGCACAAUGGGGGAAACCCUGAUGCAGCCAUGCCGCGUGUGUGAAGAAGGCUUUCGGGUUGUAAAGCACUUUCAGCGAGGAGGAAAGGGUAUUGCUUAAUACGUAAUAUCUGUGACGUUACUCGCAGAAGAAGCACCGGCUAACUCCGUGCCAGCAGCCGCGGUAAUACGGAGGGUGCAAGCGUUAAUCGGAAUUACUGGGCGUAAAGCGCGCGUAGGUGGUUAAUUAAGUCAGAUGUGAAAGCCCAGGGCUCAACCUUGGAACUGCAUUUGAAACUGGUUAACUAGAGUUUUGUAGAGGGUGGUAGAAUUUCAGGUGUAGCGGUGAAAUGCGUAGAGAUCUGAAGGAAUACCAGUGGCGAAGGCGGCCACCUGGACAAUAACUGACACUGAGGCGCGAAGGCGUGGGGAGCAAACGGGAUUAGAUACCCCGGUAGUCCACGCAGUAAACGAUGUCUAUUAGAAGUUUGUGGCUAUAUGCCGUGGG
rnacentral:rRNA from 1 species